UUUUAAGAAAAUAGUUUAUAACUUCAUGCUUGACUUUAAGGUAGCCUAACUUGCUCUCUUCCUUCUCCUUCUUCUAUAAAUUGCAAUAAGCACAAAACACAAAAGCACAAAUUCUUGAAAAGCCAAUAAAACAAAGUGAUCAUUGAUCAAAUGGCUACUCCUUCAACUCAGAUUAUCGGUGGCUGGCAUGUAAUCAAGGAUCUUAGCAGCCCCACUCUGACGGAGGUUGCGAUUUUCGCAAUAGAGAAAGGAACUACCGAUUCGAAGCUGGAGAAGGUCCUCCACGGCCAAAACCAAGUCAUCGACGGCUUCCAGUACCUCCUCGUGCUGUCGGCUACAAAUGGCAAGGAAUCGAAAAAGUACUUGGCCAUCGUGCUUCAGGAGGUAGGUAAGGAGAGUGAGCUCAUUUUCUUUGCACCUUAUCUUACUUAAUUUUAUAAAUAAAUUUUUUAUUAAUAAAAAAUACAAAAACAUCUUU